rnacentral:rRNA from 1 species
AUUGAACGCUGGCGGCAGGCCUAACACAUGCAAGUCGCACGAGUGGCGGACGGGUGAGUAAUGUCUGGGAAACUGCCUGAUGGUGGGGGAUCACUACUGGAAACGGUAGCUAAUACCGCAUACCAUCAGAUGUGCCCAGAUGGGCUUAGCUUGUUGGUGGGGUAACGGCUCACCAAGGCGACGAUCCCUAGCUGGUCUGAGAGGAUGACGUGCCACACUGGAACUGAGAAACGGUCCAGACUCCUACGGGAGGCAGCAGUGGGGAAUAUUGCACAAUUGGCGCAAGCCUGAUGCAGCCAUGCCGCGUGUAUGAAGAAGGCCUUCGAGUUGUAAAGUACUUUCAGCGGGGAGGCGUUACCCGCAGAAGAGGGACCGGCUAACUCCGGGCCAGCAGCCGCGGUAAUUC